rnacentral:rRNA from 1 species
UACGUAGGGAGCAAGCGUUGUCCGGAAUCAUUGGGCGUAAAGCGCACGUAGGCGGCUUUUUAAGUCAGGGGUGAAAUCCCGGGGCUCAACCCCGGAACUGCCCUUGAAACUGGAGAGCUAGAAUCUUGGAGAGGCGAGUGGAAUUCCGAGUGUAGAGGUGAAAUUCGUAGAUAUUCGGAAGAACACCAGUGGCGAAGGCGACUCGCUGGACAAGUAUUGACGCUGAGGUGCGAAAGCGUGGGGAGCAAACAGG